GAUGAACGCUGGCGGCGUGCCUAAUACAUGCAAGUCGAGCGAACAGACGAGGAGCUUGCUCCUCUGACGUUAGCGGCGGACGGGUGAGUAACACGUGGAUAACCUACCUAUAAGACUGGGAUAACUUCGGGAAACCGGAGCUAAUACCGGAUAAUAUUUUGAACCGCAUGGUUCAAUAGUGAAAGACGGUUUUGCUGUCACUUAUAGAUGGAUCCGCGCCGCAUUAGCUAGUUGGUAAGGUAACGGCUUUCCAAGGCAACGAUGCGUAGCCGACCUGAGAGGGUGAUCGGCCACACUGGAACUGAGACACGGUCCAGACUCCUACGGGAGGCAGCAGUAGGGAAUCUUCCGCAAUGGGCGAAAGCCUGACGGAGCAACGCCGCGUGAGUGAUGAAGGUCUUCGGAUCGUAAAACUCUGUUAUUAGGGAAGAACAAAUGUGUAAGUAACUAUGCACGUCUUGACGGUACCUAAUCAGAAAGCCACGGCUAACUACGUG
rnacentral:rRNA from 1 species